GGACAGAAAUGCCUUGGAGGAUCCAGGCUGGGAAGUCACACGUGGGAGAGCAGUCACAGGGGGUGACUGAGGACGUCCUGGGUGCUCCCUCCUGCCGCCCCAGGGCUCUCUUCUCUUUCAGCCCCAAGACCCCCCUGCUCUUCUCCUCCCAGAUGCUUGGCCCUGUGUUGUCAUGUUAGUUUCUGCCUUCUCGAGGCCGAGGCAAGGGCGUUAGGAAAACAACUUUGGAACGUGACCUGGCUUUCCACCCUGACUCUGCACUACCAGCUGUGUGGCCCUGGGCAGAGCCACCGCCCCUGUCUGGGUCUCAGUGCCCUCCUUGUAAAGCAGAAGUGAAAGGAAAGCAGGGCAAACAUAUCUGAAGAGUCCUGGGAGUGUAUCACCCCACGUGCCCGACCAGGUGGGGACCGUCGGCGCCUCCAGCCAGAGAUCACUCGAAACAUACCUGGGAGUGAACAAGCCAGACGUGAUUCCGGAGUGCUCUUGUGUUUGUCUCGGUCCAUCACGGUGGCGGAUGGCCCUGUCUGUGUUCAGCGGGAGCCACACCAGGGCCUGGCUGACGGGGCCAGGCAGCUCCCGGAUGUCACGGCUGCUUUGCUUUGUCGGGAUGCUAUCGUUCCCCCUAGGACAGAUGGAGAGACCGGGGCACCUCUUGGCCAGAGUCCCACAAGACCAAGAAGGUGGUGGAUGGGGUCUUCAAACCUGUUGUUCUGCUCCAGAGUCUGCACGUUUCACCACCAACUAGGCGGCCCAACACCAGGCAAGCACCUGUGCAGUGGCUGUCGCUGUAGUGUGGUCUCCCAGUGAUGCUCCUGCACCCUUGACCCAAUCCUGUGAAGAUGUGGCCUGGGGCCAGCCUGGUGAGACACUCCAGGGAUCCCGAGGACACUUCUCCAUUUGAUCUGCAUUGUCCUUUGUGGUGCUCAUCAUAAUCUCAAUUAAUCCACACUGUCCUCCAUUGAAAUGUCUGCCUCCACCACCGGACAAAUGAGUCCUUGGGUCGGCAGUAUCUUGGUCACUGCUGAGCCCCCAGCCCUGUGCCUACUCCACAGUAAGUGCGCAAUAAACACCUAGUGAAUAAACAAA